rnacentral:rRNA from 1 species
CCCUGUGUUCAACUACUCUAAAAGCACCUUAUCACAUCAUCUUGGAAGCUAAGCAGGGUCAGCUCUGGUUAGUACUUGGAUGGGAAACUGCCAACAAAUACCAGGUGCACUAGGC